rnacentral:rRNA from 1 species
UGUGGGGACCAUUCCACGGUUUCCGCGCCGCAGCUAACGCAUUAAGUGCCCCGCCUGGGGAGUACGGCCGCAAGGCUAAAACUCAAAGGAAUUGACGGGGGCCCGCACAAGCGGCGGAGCAUGCGGAUUAAUUCGAUGCAACGCGAAGAACCUUACCAAGGCUUGACAUGUUUUCGACCGCCGUGGAGACACGGUUUCCCCUUUGGGGCGGAUUCACAGGUGGUGCAUGGUUGUCGUCAGCUCGUGUCGUGAGAUGUUGGGUUAAGUCCCGCAACGAGCGCAACCCUCGUUCCAUGUUGCCAGCACGUAGUGGUGGGGACUCAUGGGAGACUGCCGGGGUCAACUCGGAGGAAGGUGAGGACGACGUCAAAUCAUCAUGCCCCUUAUGUCUAGGGCUUCACGCAUGCUACAAUGGCCGGUACAAUGGGUUGCGAUACUGUGAGGUGGAGCUAAUCCCAAAAAGCCGGUCUCAGUUCGGAUUGGGGUCUGCAACUCGACCCCAUGAAGUCGGAGUCGCUAGUAAUCGCAGAUCAGCAACGCUGCGGUGAAUACGUUCCCGGGCCUUGUACACACCGCCCGUCAAGUCACGAAAGUCGGUAACACCCGAAGCCGGUGGCCUAACCCUUGUGGGGGGAGCCGUCGAAGGUGGGGCUG